rnacentral:rRNA from 1 species
AGAGUUUGAUCCUGGCUCAGGAUGAACGCUGGCGGUCUGCUUAACACAUGCAAGUCGAACGGAAUCCUUAGGGAUUUAGUGGCGGACGGGUGAGUAACACGUAAGAACCUGCCUCUAGGACGGGGACAACAGUUGGAAACGACUGCUAAACCCGGAUGAGCCGAAAGGUAAAAGAUUAAUCGCCUAGAGAGGGGCUUGCGUCUGAUUAGCUAGUUGGUGAGGUAAGAGCCCACCAAGGCGACGAUCAGUAGCUGGUCUGAGAGGAUGAUCAGCCACACUGGGACUGAGACACGGCCCAGACUCCUACGGGAGGCAGCAGUGGGGAAUUUUCCGCAAUGGGCGAAAGCCUGACGGAGCAAGACCGCGUGGGGGAGGAAGGUUCUUGGAUUGUCAACCCCUUUUCUCAGGGAAGAACACAAUGACGGUACCUGAGGAAAAAGCGUCGGCUAACUCCGUGCCAGCAGCCGCGGUAAUACGGGGGAUGCAAGCGUUAUCCGGAAUGAUUGGGCGUAAAGAGUCCGUAGGUAGUCAUCCAAGUCUGCUGUUAAAGAGCGAGGCUUAACCUCGUAAAGGCAGUGGAAACUGGAAGACUAGAGUGUAGUAGGGGCAGAGGGAAUUCCUGGUGUAGCGGUGAAAUGCGUAGAGAUCAGGAAGAACACCGGUGGCGAAGGCGCUCUGCUGGGCUAUAACUGACACUGAGGGACGAAAGCUAGGGGAGCGAAUGGGAUUAGAUACCCCAGUAGUCCUAGCGGUAAACGAUGGAAACUAGGUGUGGCCUGUAUCGACCCGGGCCGUGCCGAAGCAAACGCGUUAAGUUUCCCGCCUGGGGAGUACGCACGCAAGUGUGAAACUCAAAGGAAUUGACGGGGGCCCGCACAAGCGGUGGAGUAUGUGGUUUAAUUCGAUGCAACGCGAAGAACCUUACCAGGACUUGACAUCUCUGGAAUCUCCUUGAAAGGGGAGAGUGCCGUAAGGAACCGGAAGACAGGUGCUGCAUGGCUGUCGUCAGCUCGUGUCGUGAGAUGUUGGGUUAAGUCCCGCAACGAGCGCAACCCUCGUCGUUAGUUGCCAUCAUUAAGUUGGGAACUCUAGCGAGACUGCCGGUGACAAACCGGAGGAAGGUGAGGAUGACGUCAAGUCAGCAUGGCCCUUACGUCCUGGGCGACACACGUACUACAAUGCGAGGGACACAGAGCAGCCAACCCGCGAGGGAGAGCGAAUCUCACAAACCCUGGCACAGUUCAGAUUGCAGGCUGCAACUCGCCUGCAUGAAGGAGGAAUCGCUAGUAAUCGCAGGUCAGCAUACUGCGGUGAAUCCGUUCCCGGGCCUUGUACACACCGCCCGUCACACCAUGGAAGUGAGCCACGCCCGAAGUCAUUACUCUAACCCUUUCGGGGGAGGAGGGUGCCGAAGGCGGGGUUGAUGACUGGGGUGAAGUCGUAACAAGGUAACC